AGAGUUUGAUCCUGGCUCAGAACGAACGUUGGCGGCGUGGAUUAGGCAUGCAAGUCGAACGCGAAAGGGUAGCAAUACCCGAGUAAAGUGGCGAACGGGUGAGUAACGCGUAGGAAACCUGCCUUCGAGUGGGGGAUAACACUCCUAACGGGGUGCUAAUACCGCAUGAAACUAAGGGGUCGCAUGGCCCCAUAGUCAAAGGUGGCCUCUAUUUAUAAGCUACCGCUCAAAGAUGGUCCUGCGUCCCAUUAGCUAGUUGGUGAGGUAACGGCUCACCAAGGCUUCGAUGGGUAGCCGAUCUGAGAGGAUGACCGGCCACACUGGGACUGAGAUACGGCCCAGACUCCUACGGGAGGCAGCAGUCGAGAGGCUUCGGCAAUGGGGGAAACCCUGACCGAGCGACGCCGCGUGGAGGAUGAAGGCCUUUGGGUUGUAAACUCCUGUCAUGUGGGAAGAAACGCUACCGUUCGAAUAGGGCGGUAGUUUGACGGUACCACAAGAGAGU
rnacentral:rRNA from 1 species